GAUGAACGCUGGCGGCGUGCCUAAUACAUGCAAGUCGAGCGAACAGACGAGGAGCUUGCUCCUCUGACGUUAGCGGCGGACGGGUGAGAAGCAGGUGAAUAACCUAGCUAUAAGGCUGGAAUAACGGCAGGAAACCGGAGUUAAGGCCGUAUAAUCUAUUGAACGGCAUGGUGCGUUAGUGAAAGACGGUUCUGCUGACAGGGAUAGGUGGAUCCGCGCCGCAUUAGCUAGUUGGUAAGGUAACGGCUUACCAAGCCAACGAUGCGUAGCCGACCUGAGAGGGUGAUCGGCCACACUGGAACUGAGACACGGUCCAGACUCCUACGGGAGGCAGCAGUAGGGAAUCUUCCGCAAUGGGCGAAAGCCUGACGGAGCAACGCCGCGUGAGUGAUGAAGGUCUUCGGAUCGUAAAACUCUGUUAUUAGGGAAGAACAAAUGUGUAAGUAACUAUGCACGUAUUGACGGUACCUAAUCAGAAAGCCACGGCUAACUACGUG
rnacentral:rRNA from 1 species